GAUGAACGCUGGCGGCGUGCCUAAUACAUGCAAGUAGAACGCUGAAGCUUGGUGCUUGCACCGAGCGGAUGAGUUGCGAACGGGUGAGUAACGCGUAGGUAACCUGCCUCUUAGCGGGGGAUAACUAUUGGAAACGAUAGCUAAUACCGCAUAAAAGUCGAUAUCGCAUGAUGUUGAUUUGAAAGGUGCAAUUGCAUCACUAAGAGAUGGACCUGCGUUGUAUUAGCUAGUUGGUGAGGUAACGGCUCACCAAGGCGACGAUACAUAGCCGACCUGAGAGGGUGAUCGGCCACACUGGGACUGAGACACGGCCCAGACUCCUACGGGAGGCAGCAGUAGGGAAUCUUCGGCAAUGGGGGCAACCCUGACCGAGCAACGCCGCGUGAGUGAAGAAGGUUUUCGGAUCGUAAAGCUCUGUUGUAAGAGAAGAACGAGUGUGAGAGUGGAAAGUUCACACUGUGACGGUAACUUACCAGAAAAGGGACGGCUAACAC
rnacentral:rRNA from 1 species